CCGCGCUAGAUGGGGCGCUCCCGGUGCCCUGAACUCGAAACCCGGGUCAUGCGAGGUCGAAUUCCCGCCCGAGGGCGUUUUAUCCUUUAGUCAGGUUCGAGGCACGUGGUGUUGACGGCUGGGUCCUACUCAACGGGGUGCUGCCGAACCCGGUCAGGUCUUGACGGAAGCAGCCGUAGGUGGUUUUCCUCGUGUGCUGUAGGAGCGCCUGGCCCGAGCUAACGACCUCGAGGCCGUUCUGGGUACGCGUUCGACGGCGGGUGCGCGG
rnacentral:SRP_RNA from 1 species